ACUCCUACGGGAGGCAGCAGUGGGGAAUAUUGCACAAUGGGCGCAAGCCUGAUGCAGCCAUGCCGCGUGUAUGAAGAAGGCCUUCGGGUUGUAAAGUACUUUCAGCAGUGAGGAAGGUGGGUAUGUUAAUAGCAUAUUCAUUUGACGUUAGCUGCAGAAGAAGCACCGGCUAACUCCGUGCCAGCAGCCGCGGUAAUACGGAGGGUGCGAGCGUUAAUCGGAAUUACUGGGCGUAAAGCGCAUGCAGGUGGUUUGUUAAGUCAGAUGUGAAAGCCCGGGGCUCAACCUCGGAAUUGCAUUUGAAACUGGCAAACUAGAGUACUGUAGAGGGGGGUAGAAUUUCAGGUGUAGCGGUGAAAUGCGUAGAGAUCUGAAGGAAUACCGGUGGCGAAAGGCGGCCCCCUGGACAGAUACUGACACUCAGAUGCGAAAGCUGGGGAGCAAACAGGAUUAGAUCCCCUGGUAGGCUCUGC
rnacentral:rRNA from 1 species